rnacentral:siRNA from 1 species
UUCUAAAUAUUCGGUUCGGGUCGG